rnacentral:rRNA from 1 species
UCUGGUGCCAGCAGCCGCGGUAAUUCCAGCUCCAAUAGCGUAUAUUAAAGUUGUUGCAGUUAAAAAGCUCGUAGUUGAAUUUCGGGGUUCCACCGUUGGUCGGGCAAUUGUCUGUACUGGCGUGUGGAAUUUCUCCCUUCUGGGGAACCAUCAUGCC